rnacentral:rRNA from 1 species
CCAUGGAGCUUUACUGUAGCUUGACAUUGGGUCUUGGUACUACAUGUACAGGAUAGGUGGGAGGCUUUGAAACCAGGACGCCAGUUUUGGCGGAGCCAUCCUUGGGAUACCACCCUUGUAGUACUGGGACUCUAACCAUAGGCCAUGAAUCUGGUCUUGGGACACUGUCAGGUGGGCAGUUUGACUGGGGCGGUCGCCUCCCAAAAGGUAACGGAGGCGCUCAAAGGUUCUCUCAGUACGGUCGGAAAUCGUACGUAGAGUGUAAAGGCAAAAGAGAGCUUGAUUGCAAGACAUACAGGUCGAGCAAGGAUGAAAAUCGGACUUAGUGAUCCGGUGGUUCUGCGUGGAAGGGCCAUCGCUCAACGGAUAAAAGCUACCCUGGGGAUAACAGGCUUAUCUCCCCCAAGAGUCCACAUCGACGGGGAGGUUUGGCACCUCGAUGUCGGCUCAUCACAUCCUGGGGCUGUAGUAGGUCCCAAGGGUUGGGCUGUUCGCCCAUUAAAGUGGUACGCGAGCUGGGUUCAGAACGUCGUGAGACAGUUCGGUCCCUAUCCGUCGCAGGCGUAGGAAAUUUGAGAAGACCUGUCCUUAGUACGAGAGGACCGGGAUGGACGUACCUCUGGUGUACCAGUUGUUCUGCCAAGGGCAUGGCUGGGUAGCUAUGUACGGAAUGGAUAAGCGCUGAAAGC